AUGAGUACAGCUUCAUCAGUUUUCCAUUUGAAAACAUGCCAGGAAGCUAAAAAGUUUGUGUAUGGUAGCUGGGAAGAGGAAUGCUGCAACCCUCUUGCUUGCUUCUUUUUGCAGGGCAUGUUGUUUAUUUGUGGGCUUCUGAUACUGUGCUGCUAUCAAGCCUCCUUCAGAUGGGCCUUACUCAUGGAUUGGGGUACACAAGAUGCGAUGCAGUCCUUUUGUGAGGGGAAGAUACAAAUGAAAUAAAGGGAAGAGAAAUAUGAGAUGAUAGUAGUGUCAUGUUUCUGUUCAGAGGAGGAGACAGAACUAUAAAACAGUAUUCUCAUGUAAGUACAUACUGUUUUAGUGUCCUUCCUAAUAAUGACUUAGUGGUUUUUUUUUUUUGUAUGAGCGCUUUUAGGUUUAUUUUUACCUUUAUUUUUUUUUCUUUAAGUUUUCUCAUAGCCUUAUAUAUGAUGGAAGUUCUGGGAAUGUACGAUAGUCUUUGUCUCACAGAAGGCUAGGUAAAAUGAUAAUGAUGAAUUACUCCUAUUUAUAUGAAUUAAAUUUCCUUUUUUUAUUAUUUUUGAAAGUGACAUAACACAACAAAUGAAAUUUCCACUAAACAAAUCAAACAAAUUUCCACUAAACUAUAUUUCAUUCUGGAUCAGGAGGAAAAAAUAUUUUAUAAAAGAGUUGAGGGGAAUACAUCCUGAAUUUCGUACAUCUUGAAAUAAACAAUAUCUAAGUAGUGGGGAUAUUUGAAGA
rnacentral:lncRNA from 1 species